rnacentral:rRNA from 1 species
AUUGAACGCUGGCGGCAGGCCUAACACAUGCAAGUCGAACGAGUGGCGGACGGGUGAGUAAUGUCUGGGAAACUGCCUGAUGGAGGGGGAUAACUACUGGAAACGGUAUCUAAUACCGCAUACCAUCAGAUGUGCCCAGAUGGGAUUAGCUUGUGUGUGGGGUAACGGAUCACCUAGGAGACGAUCCCUAGCUGGUCUGAGAGGAUGACGAGACACACAGGAACUGAGACACGGUCCAGACUACUACGGGAGGAAGCAGUGGGGAAUAUUGCACAAUGGGCGCAAGCCUGAUGGAGCCAAGCCGCGUGUAUGAAGAAGGCCUUCGGGUGGUAAAGUACUGUCAGCGGGGAGGUGUUACCCGCAGAAGAAGCACCGGCUAACUACGUGCAAGCAGCCGCGGUAAUAC